rnacentral:ncRNA from 1 species
UUGGAAGCAAAUUAGAAAUUCUUAAUGUACCUGUUUAUGGUACAGCAAUAUACUGACAUGGAUGUCAGUAUAAGUCCUAAUGAGCCCGGAUGGCUCAUUUAGGACGGUUGCGUCAAAAGUUUAUUAUUAAGGAAAGGUACAUUUAGAAGUUCUUAUUUGCGGAC